UACGUAGGGGGCUAGCGUUGUCCGGAAUCAUUGGGCGUAAAGCGCGUGUAGGCGGUCCGGUAAGUCCGCUGUGAAAGUCGGGGGCUCAACCCUCGGAUGCCGGUGGAUACUGUCGGGCUUGAGUACGGAAGAGGCGAGUGGAAUUCCUGGUGUAGCGGUGAAAUGCGCAGAUAUCAGGAGGAACACCAAUUGCGAAGGCAGCUCGCUGGGACGUUACUGACGCUGAGACG
rnacentral:rRNA from 1 species